rnacentral:rRNA from 1 species
AUUGAACGCUGGCGGCAGGCCUAACACAUGCAAGUCGAACGAGUGGCGGACGGGUGAGUAAUGUCUGGGAAACCGCCUGAUGGAGGGGGAUAACUACUGGAAACGGUAGCUAAUACCGCAUACCAUCGGAUGUGCCCAGAUGGGAUUAGCUAGUAGGGGGGGUAAAGGCUCACCAAGGCGACGAUCCCUAGCUGGACUGAGAGGAAGACCAGCCACACUGGAAGUGAGACACGGUCCAGACUCCUACGGGAGGCAGCCGUGGGGAAUAUUGCACAAUGGGCGCAAGCCUGAUGCAGCCAUGCCGCGUGUAUGAAGAAGGCCUUCGGGUUGUAAAGUACUUUCAGCGGGGAGGCGUUACCCGCAGAAGAAGCACCGGCUAACGCCGUGCCAGCGGCCGCGGUAAUAC